AAAUGAAAAAUUAGUGGCAUUUUUUUAAUGGCGUUUUACUUACAAAUGCCACUAACUUCCGUAUUUUAUAAAGGUCACGGCAUUUUAGAUCAAAAUGCCACAAAAUUUUCGAAUAGCGACGUUUGGAUUGACAAACACCACUAAAGAUAGGAAUUAGUGGCAUUUAUUCACCAAAACACCGCAACAUAAAAUAAAAAAUUUAUUAAAUAUAAAUAUGAUUAUAUGAACAACGAAAUGCACCGUUCUUUAAAUUUUUUUAGUGACUUUCUUUUAUGAUAAAUGCCAUUACAUUGGAAAGAUUUAGUGGCAUUUUAAUUAGUAAAUGCUGAUAUAUUGGAUCCCAGACUGAAAAAAGUGCAGUGUUUAGGAAAGAUUUAAUGGUGUUUGAACUAAAAAUGCUGCAGUUAGUUGGAAAUUAUUGGUGUUUUUAAAAUAAAAGCUUCUAAUUUUUCCCUAAAUUGAAACCCAAAUUUCCUUUUCUUCCAGAAAUUAUUGGUGUUUUUAAAAUAAAUGCCUCUAAUUUUUCCCUAAAUUGAAACCCAAAUUUCCUUUUCUUCUCUGCGCAUGAUUUCCUUUUCUUUUCAUUCCAUUUCCAAUUGGUUGUCUUUGUUUUCGAUCUGAUUCCUUUUCCUUUCCUAAUUUGUUUUGAAUCCUACCCUAAAUUGAACCCUUGAGAGCUUUGUGGUUCAUUUUCCAUUGCCGUUUGUAAGCCCCCGUGGUUCCCGUUUGGCAUUCAUCUCCAUUUUCCUUCCAUCUAAAACAUUGCUUUAAGUAAAUUAUGCCCAAAUGUAAUAAAGGAGUUGAGUAUAAAAAAUGACAGCUGAUGUAGUUCAGAGAUCAUUGGAUGUUGCUGAUUCUAGAACUUCUCAUCUGGGGGCAGAGAUAGAGUGUCAAAUUGAUGAAAGAAAGAAAAUUGAAGCUAAGCUGGAAGAGGCGUCUAGAGAACCAGAUAGGAAGAUAGUCAAAUAAGUACAAAGAGGUUGCAAUGGAUAUUCAUUCUAUCCAGGCUGAUGUGCAAUCUCUUUCCAGUAUUCUGGAUAGGAAGGUCCAGGAUUUGAAGGGCAGUGAUUAAGGGUUGAAGUUGAUAUUGGAGAUCUAUAGACAUGAAAUUUACUGAUUCAAGAGAUGUUUUGGAAGCGACAGAUUCAGAAUACAUGACAAGGCAUGGGCUCAUGUUCAAAGUUUUAAAUCUUGUCUUGAUAAGCUAAAUUUGGAAUUAUGUGUUAAGACAGUUAAUGAAGCUGAAGUGAUAUCCUAGGAAAGGUUGGUGCUGCAGAGGCUGAAGUUGUUGAAUUGCAACAGAAACUAGAAGCUUAUAAGGGGUUAAACUUGGUUUUUUCUUUUGAGUUUUUCUUUUAUGUUUGGAGAGUGGACAUUGUCUAGACCUUUCCAGCAAACCUGCAAUUGUCAUUUCUGCAUUAGGCAAACGUUUAUUUAAUGUGCCUAGACAAUUCCAUCAUACGGUAUUCUGUUGAAAUUCACAUUAGCUAAGCUGUAAAUGUACUAGAAAUAGUAUAUUAGGUAUUAGUGUAAUUGCUUCCUUCAUUUAUCUUCUCAGCUUGCAUUUAUUUAUCAAACCAUGGGCUUAUGAGAAACAUGUGAAAAAAAUCACAUACGAAAAUAUGAAAUUCAGACUCAUGUGACAAAGUAUUAUUGCAGGCUUUCUGAUACUUUGAAAUCCAAAAAUAUAAAAAAUGAGGCUUUUUAGGCUGGCUUGAUCUGCAAGCAGUAAGGAAAAAAUGUAGGAAUUUAGUUUCAAAAGUUAAUGUGUUUGUCCAAAGAUCAUAGAAGAGUAUAGGUUGAAAAGGCUUGAUGGGGGUUUGAAAGAUGAUAGUAACAAAUAAGGGAUCAUCUUUCAUUGGUGUUGAAGAUGAUCCAAUAGAUAUAUCACCUAUCAUUGAUUCUAUUGGAAAUUGAAUCAAAUGUUAGAGCUUUUUCCAUAACAUUCCAUUAAAAUUGUCAUAUAAAACAAAAACAUUUCAUAACUAUCACUACAGGAAGUCGGUCUUUAGGUAUGUUUUUUUCUUUUUUUUUUCAUGUUUAAUAGUGUUUAUAAACGUAGUUAAAAUAUUUGUGGCUAAGAGUAAUUUUUUUUUUUUUUAUGUUUUGCCAAAAGCAUUGUUAGAAAUUUUGGCUAUACUUGAA